rnacentral:rRNA from 1 species
UGAUCCUGCCAGUAGUCAUAUGCUUGUCUCAAAGAUUUAGCCAUGCAUGUCUAAGUAAAAACUAAAUUAUGGUGAAACUGCAAAUGGCUCAUUACAACGGUUAUGAUGUACCCGGGAUUUCCGAUGGAUAUUUCCAGUAACACUAGAGCUAAUACAUGUAACUGCGUUUAUUAGUUUCAAACAAAUCUGUCGCUGAGUCAUGGUAAACUGUUGAUCGACUCGACGUCCCGGAACAGUUUCCGCCCCAUCAGCUUCGAUGGUUGGGUAUUGGCCUACCAUUGCAACAACGGGUAACGAGGAAUUAGGGUUUGAUUUCGGAGAGGGAGCCUGAGAAACGGCUACCACAUCUACGGAUGGCAGCAGGCGCGAAAAUUACCCAAUGCAGACACUGUGAGGUAGUGACGAGAAAUAAUAAAGCGGGGCUUCUGUCUUGCUAUUAUAAUGAGGAAUAACUAAAUGUCAUUCCUAUUAGCAACUGAUGGGCAAGUC